rnacentral:lncRNA from 1 species
UGAUGCAUUUCUUUUGAUAAGACAGAUAAUUUAUAAAUAUUUGCUAGACAUUGAACAUCGAAUUUUAUAUUUUAUUACUUAUCUUUAUUUUUAGAUUAUAUUAUUAUAUUGGUGUGAUAUGAAAAUUUUUACUGGACUGUAAAGCUCACACCUCUUCAUUUUUUUUUCUUUUCAGAGUUACAAGGUGUGCAUAGUUGGCUAUGGUAUGGAUUUACGAGUGAACGGAUGCAUAAAUAGAGUGCCAUUGAUA